AAUGCCUUGUAGUAUUUUUCAUAUUGACUCUAUUUUUAUUCUACCUUUACAAUAUUUUAAAUAAAACAUAAUAAAAUAUAGGUAACAAUAUCCGUUUGUCGAGAGAAAUUGUUAAGGUUUUGUUAUAACUUAUAAAUAUUACAUCACUUACUCACUAAAGUAAUAUCAGUAAGAUUUUCGGCAAAAUAAUAUACUAUUUCUUGUUGUUUACAAAAACGAUGAGUUAUUAUCAAUAAUAUGUUUGUAUUUUUAAAACAUAUUAUUACGAAACCCUGCCUUGUUUAAAUAGCUUUUAAGUUAAAGCAUAAAGUAAAUACUACUAUUUUAUCCAUUAGCUAAUGUUUUAAUAUCUACAAAUGUGUUAAGAGUUAAUUUCUAGCACUGUUGGGAAAAUUUGUUUUAUGCGCUAAUGUAGAAAAAAGAUGAAA